UACGUAGGGUGCGAGCGUUGUCCGGAAUUACUGGGCGUAAAGCGCGCGCAGGUGGCUUGGUAAGUGAGAUGUGAAAUCUCCCGGCCUAACUGGGAGGGGACAUUUCAGACUGGCAGGCUUGAGGACAGCAGAGGUAGGUGGAAUUCCUGGUGUAGUGGUGAAAUGCGUAGAGAUCAGGAGGAACACCGGUGGCGAAGGCGGCCUACUGGGCUGUCUCUGACGCUGAGGCGCGAAAGCUCGGGGAGCGAACGGG
rnacentral:rRNA from 1 species